rnacentral:rRNA from 1 species
UACGGGGGGAGCAAGCGUUGUUCGGAUUUACUGGGCGUAAAGGGCGCGUAGGCGGCCAGCACAAGUCAGUUGUGAAAUCUCCGAGCUUAACUCGGAACGGUCAACUGAUACUGUGCGGCUAGAGUGCGGAAGGGGCAACUGGAAUUCUUGGUGUAGCGGUGAAAUGCGUAGAUAUCAAGAGGAACACCUGCGGCGAAGGCGGGUUGCUGGGCCGACACUGACGCUGAGGCGCGAAAGCCUAGGGGAGCGAACGGG